UACAUAGGGUGCAAGCGUUAUCCGGAAUUAUUGGGCGUAAAGCGUCUGUAGGCGGCGUGCCAAGUAGAAGAUGAAAGCCCAGGGCCCAACCCUGGUUACGUUUUCUAAACUGGUAUGCUAGAGAAAUGGAGAGGUGCAUGGAAUUUCUAGUGUAGGGGUAAAAUCCGUUGAUAUUAGAAGGAACGCUAAAAGCGAAGGCAGUGCACUGGUCAUUUCUGACGCUGAGAGACGAAAGCGUGGGGAGCAAACA
rnacentral:rRNA from 1 species